rnacentral:rRNA from 1 species
AUUGAACGCUGGCGGCAUGCCUUACACAUGCAAGUCGAACGGCAGCGGGCCCUUCGGGGUGCCGGCGAGUGGCGAACGGGUGAGUAAUGCAUCGGAACGUACCCGGGAGAGGGGGAUAACCGGCCGAAAGGCUGGCUAAUACCGCAUGAACUCGGAAGAGCAAAGCGGGGGACCUUCGGGCCUCGCGCUCUCGGAGCGGCCGAUGUCCGAUUAGGCUAGUUGGUGGGGUAAAGGCCCACCAAGGCGACGAGCGGUAGCGGGUCUGAGAGGACGAUCCGCCACACUGGGACUGAGACACGGCCCAGACUCCUACGGGAGGCAGCAGUGGGGAAUCUUGGACAAUGGGCGCAAGCCUGAUCCAGCAAUGCCGCGUGGGUGAAGAAGGCCUUCGGGUUGUAAAGCCCUUUCGGCGGGGAAGAAAUAGGUCAGGCGAAUAGUCUGGCCGGAUGACGGUACCCGCAGAAGAAGCACCGGCUAACUACGUG